GCUUGGCUAAUUUUAUUUUAGAUUUGAGAAUACAUGUGCCUUGCAUACUGGUGAGGAUUGGGCUUCUAUUUCCAUUACCCAAAUAGUGAGCAUUGUCUCUGAUAGGCAAUUUUUCAACCCUCACUCCUUUCCUCUUUUACAUUUUUUAUUUUUUGUAGAGAUGAGGUCUUGCUAUCUUGCCCAGGCUGUUCUCCAAUUCCUAGCCUCAAGCAGUCUUCCUGCCUUGGCCUCCCAAAGUGCCAGGAUUACAGGCAUGAGCCACCACAUCUGGCUGUUUUUUGUUGAUAAAGCCCUCUAAACCUCAAAUUUUUUAAGUUCAGUUUCUCGACUGGGAAUUGGCACAAAUGUGACUUAAAUCCAAACCUUCCAUCUUCAAAUCCUGGGCUGCUAACCAGACACUGAGCUCAGAGUGCAGCUGGGAUGUCCGUCCACCGUGGAGUCUCUCCUUGCUUUGGGUCCACUGAGCCCCACACAUUGUUGAGUGUCUGAUUGUCUCCUUGCCCUUACAGGACAGGAAAGCGAAAUCUCUGUUCCUUUGUAGGGACCUUUCUUUUGUAGGUGAAAGGGACAGAAAUAUGAUUCUGGCCUCCUUGAUGGUGAAUACAGGAACACUUUCAGAUAAAUUACAAUAGAGAGGAGUCAGCUUAUUUAAACAAACUGAGGUUAAGCCAGAGAUUGCAGUUAACAGUGAAAAAAUUUAAAGCAAGUACCUGGAUGGAUGCAAAGCAGUGCCCAGGAGACCCAACUUACGUGACAGAGAUGAUCAUUGUCACUCAUUCAUUAUGUUUUGAGCACCAGCCAUGUGCCAGGUCCAGAACUAGAAGAAACUUGGGUGUAGGUGAGAUCAUAGGAACAGUCCCUGCCCCAGCUGAACAUCAGGAAGCCAGACUGGGAGCGCAUGCCGUGGCUGACUAGGACUCCAGCAGGGACCUGGGGUUCCAUCAGAUCAGUGUAAAGCGAUGGUUUCCCAAAUGAGACCUCUCCAGAGAUGGUUCAUUCCACCCCACAAUGGCCACCAGAAACAUUGUGCUGACCAGAGGGCUUCACUGCCCCAAACCCCAAAAUCACACUCCAGGAUGAGAAACCUAAAAGUCUGUCUUGAUGAGGCUUCAUAGCUGGAAACCACCCCUCAUGGAUCCACAGGCUGCAUUUGAUGAAAGGAGACUCCAGGAAGUCGAGCCAUUCCAGGCAGACAUGUAGCAAAAGCCCGAGCUGGGGUCCGCCCUCAUGCAAUAAAUAACACCUAUGCACAUAAGAGAGGUGACAGGCGGGGCCUCCCUGGGGACCUGGGCCUGUGGCACGUGAAGAAACACCCAAGAGAGCACGAAGUCCCAAUGCCAUGACCAGAUAUUUCGGUGCCAGGCAUGCUUCUGGGUCCCAGCAAAAGACACACAAAUCCGUGUCCUUGGGGACCCACAGUCUAGUGACCUAGGGCUGGCCGGGUCGCACGCUUCUUUUCAAGGGCUCGAAAGCCUCUGCAUGGAUGCAACUUUGGGGGAAAAGUAACCCUAACCCUCUGCUUCUCUCAUCCUCCCCUCUUCUGUGUAUAUGUCUGUCUCUUUCUCUCUGUGUGUGCCCUUCCCCACUCCCAUCCCCAUUCCUUUUUUUAUUUAUUAUAUUUUGGUGGUGUGUGGCUCGGUUUCUGUUGGUCCCCUCGUGUGGCCCCUCC
rnacentral:lncRNA from 10 species